rnacentral:rRNA from 1 species
GACGAACGCUGCCGCGUGCCUAAUACAUGCAAGUAGAACGCACAGGAUGCACCGUAGUUUACUACACCGUAUUCUGUAGUGCGAACGGGUGAGUAACGCGUAGGUAACCUGCCUGGUAGCGGGGGAUAACUAUUGAAACGAUAGCUUAAUACCGCAUAAGAACAUUUACUGCAUGGUAGAUGUUUAAAAGGUGCAAGAGCAUCACUACCAGAUGGACCUGCGUUGUAUUAGCUAGUUGGUGAGGUAACGGCUCACCAAGGCAACGAUACAUAGCCGACCUGAGAGGGUGAUCGGCCACACUGGGACUGAGACACGGCCCAGACUCCUACGGGAGGCAGCAGUAGGGAAUCUUCGGCAAUGGGGGGAACCCUGACCGAGCAACGCCGCGUGAGUGAAGAAGGUUUUCGGAUCGUAAAGCUCUGUUGUUAAGGAAGAACGUGUGUGAGAGUGGAAAGUUCACACAGUGACGGUACUUAACCAGAAAGG